rnacentral:rRNA from 1 species
AGUGAACGCUGGCGGUAGGCCUAACACAUGCGAGUCGAACGGCAGCACAGUAAGAGCUUGCUCUUACGGGUGGCGAGUGGCGGACGGGUGAGGAAUACAUCGGAAUCUACUUUUUCGUGGGGGAUAACGUAGGGAAACUUACGCUAAUACCGCAUACGACCUACGGGUGAAAGCAGGGGAUCUUCGGACCUUGCGCGAUUGAAUGAGCCGAUGUCGGUUUAGCUAGUUGGCGGGGUAAAGGCCCACCAAGGCGACGAUCCGUAGCUGGUCUGAGAGGAUGAUCGGCCACACUGGAACUUAGACACGGUCCAGACUCCUACGGGAGGCAGCAGUGGGGAAUAUUGGACAAUGGGCGCAAGCCUGAUCCAGCCAUACCGCGUGGGUGAAGAAGGCCUUCGGGUUGUAAAGCCCUUUUGUUGGGAAAGAAAAGCAGCAGGUUAAUACCCCGCUGUUCUGACGGUACCCAAAGAAUAAGCACCGGCUAACUUCGUG